rnacentral:rRNA from 1 species
GAUGAACGCUGGCGGCGUGCCUAAUACAUGCAAGUCGAGCGAACAGACGAGGAGCUUGCUCCUCUGACGUUAGCGGCGGACGGGUGAGUAACACGUGGAUAACCUACCUAUAAGACUGGGAUAACUUCGGGAAACCGGAGCUAAUACCGGAUAAUAUAUUGAACCGCAUGGUUCAAUAGUGAAAGACGGUUUUGCUGUCACUUAUAGAUGGAUCCGCGCCGCAUUAGCUAGUUGGUAAGGUAACGGAUUACCAAGGCAACGAUGCGUAGCCGACCUGAGAGGGUGAUCGGCCACACUGGAACUGAGACACGGUCCAGACUCCUACGGGAGGCAGCAGUAGGGAAUCUUCCGCAGUGGGCGAAAGCCUGACGGAGCAACGCCGCGUGAGUGAUGAAGGUCUUCGGAUCGUAAAACUCUGUUAUUAGGGAAGAACAAAUGUGUAAGUAACUAUGCACGUCUUGACGGUACCUAAUCAGAAAGCCACGGCUAACUACGU